rnacentral:rRNA from 1 species
UAGGGAAUAUUGCGCAAUGGGCGAAAGCCUGACGCAGCGACACCGUGUGUAGGAUGAAGAUCUUCGGAUUGUAAACUACUGUCGGUUGAAGAAGAAGGCAUGAUAGUUAAGAGCUUGAGUGCUGACGGUAUUCAAUGAGGAAGUCUCGGCUAACUCCGUGCCAGCAGCCGCGGUAAGACGGAGGAGGCAAGCAUUGUCCGGAAUUAUUGGGCGUAAAGAACACGUAGGCGGUUUUUCAAGUCAAAUGUGAAAACCUUGGGCUUAACUUGAGGAUUGCAUUUGAAACUGAAAAGAUAGAGUACAGUAGAGGAAAGUGGAAUUCCUGGUGUAGCGGUGAAAUGCGCAGAUAUCAGGAAGAACACCGGUGGCGAAAGCGGCUUUCUGGACUGUUACUGACGCUGAGGUGUGAAAGCUAGGGGAGCGAACAG